CCCAGACUACUUUGAUGAGCCAGAUACCUUCCAGCCCGAUCGAUGGAAAGGCAGCAUCAACCCACUUGCUUGGCUUCCGUUUGGUUAUGGUCAACGUCAGUGUAUCGCAGUCAGACUCUCCAUGCUUGCAAUGAAGAUUGCCGUCAUCCAUGUCCUCCGGAGGGUUAAGUUUGUCACGCAACCUGAUGUGCCUAAGUUGCUGGAGUUGGAGUACCCAGCCACUGGACUAAUUGUGCCAAAAAGGGCAAUCAAGCUGAAGAUUGAACUCAGGGACCACCCUGAACAUUACAUCGGAUAAAACCUGGGUCAGCAUGCAUUGUUGUAUUCUUGUUAAAACCUGGAUCAGCAUGCAUUGUGGUAUUCUUGUUAAAACCUGGAUCAGCAUGCAUUACUUCCUUUAUCUUAUGCUUAUAUA